AGCGAACGCUGGCGGCAUGCCUAACACAUGCAAGUCGAACGAGACCUUCGGGUCUAGUGGCGCACGGGUGCGUAACGCGUGGGAAUCUGCCCUUGGGUUCGGAAUAACAGUUAGAAAUGACUGCUAAUACCGGAUAAUGUCUUCGGACCAAAGAUUUAUCGCCCAGGGAUGAGCCCGCGUAGGAUUAGCUAGUUGGUGAGGUAAAGGCUCACCAAGGCGACGAUCCUUAGCUGGUCUGAGAGGAUGAUCAGCCACACUGGGACUGAGACACGGCCCAGACUCCUACGGGAGGCAGCAGUGGGGGAAUAUUGGACAAAUGGGCGAAAGGACCUGAUCCAGCAAUGCCGCGUGA
rnacentral:rRNA from 1 species